ensembl:lncRNA
GAAAAUGUAGAGGGAGGGAGGAGAGAUAGGAAUACAGGGGGAAGGCAAACAAAAGUGCUGAGGGACCUAAGGGCUGAGGCUGAGGUGAGCCCAGCAGCUUCCUAGUAAGAGGAGAAAGUGCUGAGCUUCAGAAGGCAUCUGAUGCAGAAAGGGUGGGAGGGUUGGCAAAGGAUGUGAAGGAGAGGUAUGGAGUGUGCCUGGCUUGGCCCAGGAGAUGAUUUCAUAGGCAUCUCCCCCCACCCAUUUCUUCCUGAGCCAUCAGUCCUGGUGAACCCCUGCCUGCAUCUCAAGGGUCUAGGCCAAGCAACCACUGACAUGGGAGAGAAGGGGCCCUUCUGGGCCAGACCACGAAGGCUGGCACUGUGCCUGCUGGAGGAGGAGGGGAUUAGAGACCCAGUCCUCAUCAGCAUCCCAGCCGGCACUUCGGAGGCAAUUAGCAGCCCAGCUGAGCUAAUCCCCCGCCUGGCUAGGCCAACACAAACAGGCCCAAGCCGGGUGCACACUUGCCUCCCUGUUUGCUGAAGGGCCCAGUGGCCCGCCAAGAACAACAUCAGUAACCCAGGGCCUUCUCUAGGUUAAGAGUGGGACCAGGCUAGGUUAAGAGUGGGACCAGGGCUUGCUGAAGAGCUGAUAGUGCCCGACAGAGCACACUCUGGAUAGGCACUCUGGCUGCCCCAGAAAGGCAGCCACUGUUCCCAAACCAUGGGUCAGUGGGAAGAGGAAGCUAGACACAAGGAGCCAUGUAUUCUGAUUCAACACACACUCCCACCUCCACCAUGCCACCUGUGAGAGAGAAGGCACUGCCACUUUGGCCAGCCCAAUUGAAGCCAGGAGAGGUAGACCCUCUGAUCAGAGCCUAAGGACACAGGAUCCAUACCAAGAGAAAAUUUAGACCUUACUCUUGCCGUCAAGGAGCUCACAGUCUAGCAAGAAAAGCAAUUAUGUGUAGGACCCUGGAGCAGGAUCAGAAUCUAGCCCCAGUCAAACUUGGCAAAGCUGCAGUAGAACUUCCAAGAAGAGAAGGCAAAGGGGAUCCAGGAGAAGAAACAAAUCAAGACCCACAGAUUGACAAAUGGGGCAGAUGGCACCAAGAGAUGAAGGACCUAGGACAAGUUCUGCCACAACGUGGUCCUGGACCAAGAAAUGAAACCAGGCCAUCCUUCUCAGGCACCUCUGCUUCUGAAUUCCAGACCCAUCCUACCCGCAUCAGCCCUAGGCCUGGGGGUAUCUUCUUUUAGAACCAAACUCUCCAUUCUCAAUGUGGUCUCUCACCUACCCCAAGACCCCUUUCUCCUCAACCUCCAAGUCCUCACAGGUCUCCUGCCAAGAACAAAGGCCACAAACAGACUUUGCAGUAGAACUUCAGCCUCUCUGGAGUUUCCACCCAGGGAAGCAACAGCUACGGUCUCCCUGUGUGGGUCAUACCUCCUCAAGACACUGUGUUCAUCAGCUGUUCUCAGCACCACCACCAUUUACAGAGGAACUUACUUAUCACAACACCAUACCAGUAUCACCUCAGGGCAUGGGCACCAGCACAUAACUGAACAUAAAUAUUCCCCACUGGGUAAGCCAGCCAAGAGGCAGAUACAUAAUUUAUCUGUGCUUCAGGGAUGAGACUGAGGCUCACAGAAGGGAAGAGACUCCCCCAGGCCUUUUGGCUUCUAGUCAGGAUGCAAGGUCACCAGAGCCUCUCCCUACUCCACAAGCCUCCACCCUCCCUUACUGCUGGCCUAGACCUGCCUUUGGUCCUCUCUGACCAGGGGGCCAUAGAACCCUGAGCCCACCUUCUCCUCACAAAAUAGUAUCAUCUAUCCCUGGCUGGGCCAAGCUGAACUCUGACAUGCUGCUGGGGACCUACACAUUACUUUGCAGAAAGCUCUCUCUUUAAGGCCAAAGGGUGAGGGAAGCUGGAGUUGACUGCCAGGGCUGACAAAGUCAAAGCAGGAAACAGCAGGCCUCCCCACCACCCUGCUUCAGCUGGUGUGGCAGAAGACUUCAGGCCCAGGUCCAAGCCUGCCAGAUGGACUGUCAGGUUCCUGCCCACAGCCCAAAGAGGCUGACAACCCACAGUCCAAACUCCUCUUGGGGUGCUUCCCACCCAGCCCUAGAACACUAGCCUGGACCAAGGUAUAGAUGAAAUGACAAGUCCUUUCCCCCUUCAGUUCAGCCAAACAGGGAAGUGUUUUUUCAAAGGUAUUUUACUAGGACACUGAAAGAAAACAAAAAGAUAAGCACACAGAAAUAAGCAGUUUUCUAAGCAGGACUUUAACCAGCACCCAAUCAGAGGCCUACAGAUGCAUCUCCCUCUCAUCCCCCAUCCCUCAGGCAGCCUCUUUCUAGGCACUGGGAGAUCUGGGGCCUUAUUCUAACUCCACUGCUGACAGCUUGUGAAUUCUAAAGCAAGUCAGUAAACCUCUCAAUCUCAUCUGUAAAACAGAGAUGAAGAUAAUAUAGGGCCAGGCCUGGACUAAUCUGAAGCCUCUGUUCUACACAGCUUGCCACCCCCACCCACCUCCACCAUUCUGGCUGUAGGAAGACUAGGUGAAACACAACUGUGGACACGCUCCAUGGAUUGAGAAGCACAGUCAAGGAAGCUGAUGGUAGUCACUGGCCAGAACCUGCCUUUCCUUUAAGAGUGAGGAAAACUGUGUUUUGAGGUAUGGAGGAUGGCACUGUAUUCCUGGUGCAUCAGGUUUAGCUGACAUGAGGGUUUGCUGAGUCUCUCUUCCCCUUGGAGUUCUUCUAUCCCUCUUCUUCCCAGCACCUCUUGCAGCCUGGGCCUCCUCCCCCAUCUCCAUCUUGGACAGCAGCUGGAACCACCUGGAAAGCUUCAGGAAUGGCUGAUGGUUAUCACAGCCAGGACAGGGCAAGUGGCUGUCCCUCAGAUUCAUCAUAGAGCUGGAGUGGAUCCAGAGAAGUGACCAUGAGGAUGUGGGACUGCUGCUAUGAACUCAGACUGCCUCAAUCUAGAAAGAGAAAGCCUGAGAGGGGGCAGCUCAACCACUCAAAUCAGAAGAGGUAUGAAGAGGGGACCUCUGAACAAGCAUGGCGUGGCAGGAGAAGGCUGAGAGCCAAAGUUGUCCAAAUCUGGAUGGGACCCCUUCUAGACUUCCCUGGCUGGGUGACCUCAGAUGAGUUAACCCUUAUGAGUCUCAGCUUUCCCAUCUGUACCAUUUCAGAAGGCUACCAUGAGAACUGAGCCAUAACUCAGAUCUUUGUGAACUAGGGAGCCUCCACUCUAACAGACACACAACUGUCCUCCUUGGAAGAAAAUGGGAUCGGAGAGAAACCAAACUAUAGGAAUCUUCCUGAAUGGACCAAGAAAAAGCUAAACAUCCUCCCUACUGCCCCAUUCUGGUCAUCUCAGCUCAAAACCUUAUGAAAACGUGGAGGUCAUAUGGUCUAUGGUCCCGAAGAAUGCCUCGAAGAGGACUUCUCUGCAAGCACACAUUCCAACCAACCUAAACUUCUCUACAGUCCUGAAAUAAAGCAAUUCCCUAAGCCCCAAUUCACACACAGAUAUUUCACUAUUCCUUUGACAGCCCAAUUUUGAUACCACUCCUAAGCAUAGAACAUGUCUGUCUACAACAGAGGAUGGAUUGGUCUUCAAGCUUCCCAAAGACAGAGUCUAUACCAAGGCUUAAUCAUGAUCCAAAUUUUAAAAAUUAAAAAUUAAAAUUUUAGGGCCAGGGAUUUAGCUCAGUGGUUUCAUCGCCUGUUGCGCAAGCACAAGGACCCGAGUUCGAUCCCCAGUACCAAAAAAAAAAAUUAAAAUUUUAAAGGAGAAUGAAGACUAAUCUUGGCUGAAGGUUACCUGAAAAGUAGGCAAUUUCCUAAGAAUCAAGCAGACUUGAGUCCAGGGAAUUGGCAGCAAUUAUUUGAGAAACAUGAAGAAUGAUCACUGGCUUUGAAGGAUAGUAGAGGUAUCCAAGCACAGACUACUGGUAUAGAAUGGCUAUGGAAGGGCUGGGAAUUUAGCUCAGUGGCACUGUGCCUGCCUUGCAAGUGCAAGGUCCUGAGUUUGAUGCCUAGUACCAAAACUAAAAAUUUAAAAAUUUAAAAAUAACCAGGUGUAGUG